rnacentral:misc_RNA from 1 species
GUAGGUGAACCUGCGGAAGGAUCAUUACCGAGUUAGGGUCGCCUUCCAGGUGCCCGACCUCCCAACCCUUUGUCUAAGAUACCUCAGUUGCUUCGGUGGGCCGGGCGCGACCAACUGGCUUCGUGACCGGUGGCCGGGGGAUACCCCGGCGGCAGAGCGCCCACCGACGGCCUCCACAAAACUCUUGAUACCUAAACCUGUCGUCUGAAUUUACUUGAUAUUAAUCAAAAACAAAACUUUCAACAACGGA